AACGAACGCUGGCGGCAGGCCUAACACAUGCAAGUCGAGCGGACCCUUCGGGGUUAGCGGCGGACGGGUGAGUAACGCGUGGGAAUAUGCCCUUCUCUACGGAAUAGUCCUGGGAAACUGGGGGUAAUACCGUAUACGCCCUUUGGGGGAAAGAUUUAUCGGGGAAGGAUUAGCCCGCGUUGGAUUAGGUAGUUGGUGGGGUAAUGGCCUACCAAGCCGACGAUCCAUAGCUGGUUUGAGAGGAUGAUCAGCCACACUGGGACUGAGACACGGCCCAGACUCCGAGGGGAGGGAGAGGGGGGAAAUAUUAAAAAAGGGGGGCAACCAUGAUCGAGCCAGCCGGGGGGAGUAAUGAGGCCGUGGGGGUUGAAAAUCUUUUGCGGCGGGGAAAAUAAGGAGGGACCAAGAAGAAGAGCCCCGGGCAACCCCGGGC
rnacentral:rRNA from 1 species